GAAAAAAAUGGACUUGGUGGGUCUUUGAAUUUAAAUAAAAUAAACAUGUAUAUGCAACACAAAAUAUUUAUAUUCCUUGUGUAAACAUAAUUUAAUUGAUUAGGAUGGAAAUGUUUUGUUUGAAUGUAAAAUGAACACAUUAUUCUCACAUUGAUUAAAAUUGAUUGAAUUGAAUAGUUAAAGCAAUAAAAUUGAGUUUGCACAGAAAACGGCACCUCCUGAGCAGCAGGUGGCAGUAACGCUCAAUGAAAAGGACGUCAACUGCCAUAAAAGAAGAAUAAACAUCGUUUGUUUUGGGCGCCAAAAUGAAGACUCAGCAGCAGUCAGUCAGAAGAACUCUCUCAGACGGACACCACGUUAUUAAAGUCCAUCAUCCUUGCACACACUCAAAAGCAUUGAUAAAUGCUGAAUUUAAAAGAAUCACUACUGUCUAAUGUUCCUGUGUCACCUGGACCUCCAAUCCAAAAACCUGACGAAACUUCUAUCAGAAAGGAGGACAGCUAGCAAAAAGACUUGGAACAAUCAAUGAUCAAAUGACAGAAGGCAUGGAGGAAGUCAGCAUCAGUGAGGUCAUUUGAAGACACCACUGUUGGGAUUUGUGCUCUCAAACAACAUGCUUCUUGUGAUGAAGAAGAGGAUCUUUGUAUAGUCCUGGAAGGCAUGAAGGUGUUGCAACAUCGUGCCAUGUUGUUUGAGCUGAUGUAUGCCUUAAACCUGAGCUAUCCUGAUCUCCGCUUUAUUUUUGAGGAAAUCCAAAAGAUUUUAAUGGAACUGCAUUGAGCGUAACUUUAACGAACAGUUUCUUUCAGUGAAAGGAUCAGAAAGACUGUGAUGCUAAUUUAUGUUCUUUUUAUUUAUCUGUUUUAAGUGUUUUCUCUUAUUAAAACAUUAACAGUUUGCUGCUCAGAGUUGAUUUUGGAAAUGGUUGUUGUAUUUUGUUUUUGUUGAAUCUUUGAUUAU